UACGGGGGGGGGCAAGCGUUGUUCGGAAUUACUGGGCGUAAAGGGCUCGUAGGCGGCCAACUAAGUCGGACGUGAAAUCCCUCAGCUUAACUGGGGAACUGCGUCCGAUACUGGAUGGCUUGGAUUCGGGAGAGGGAUGCGGAAUUCCAGGUGUAGCGGUGAAAUGCGUAGAUAUCUGGAGGAACACCGGUGGCGAAGGCGGCAUCCUGGACCGAUAUUGACGCUGAGGAGCGAAAGCCAGGGGAGCAAAGCGGG
rnacentral:rRNA from 1 species